UACGGGGGGAGCAAGCGUUGUUCGGAUUUACUGGGCGUAAAGGGCGCGUAGGCGGCCACCGCAAGUCGGACUGUGAAAUCUCCGGGCUUAACCCGGAACGGUCAGCCGAUACUGCGGGGCUAGAGUGCAGAAGGGGCAACUGGAAUUCUCGGUGUAGCGGUGAAAUGCGUAGAUAUCGAGAGGAACACCUGCGGCGAAGGCGGGUCUCUGGGCCGAUGACUGACGCUGAGGAGCGAAAGCGUGGGGAGCGAACAGGA
rnacentral:rRNA from 1 species